AUUGAGCGCUGGCGGCAGGCCUAACACAUGCAAGUCGAGCGGAUGAAGGGAGCUUGCUCCUGGAUUCAGCGGCGGACGGGUGAGUAAUGCCUAGGAAUCUGCCUGGUAGUGGGGGAUAACGUCCGGAAACGGGCGCUAAUACCGCAUACGUCCUGAGGGAGAAAGUGGGGGAUCUUCGGACCUCACGCUAUCAGAUGAGCCUAGGUCGGAUUAGCUAGUUGGUGGGGUAAAGGCCUACCAAGGCGACGAUCCGUAACUGGUCUGAGAGGAUGAUCAGUCACACUGGAACUGAGACACGGUCCAGACUCCUACGGGAGGCAGCAGUGGGGAAUAUUGGACAAUGGGCGAAAGCCUGAUCCAGCCAUGCCGCGUGUGUGAAGAAGGUCUUCGGAUUGUAAAGCACUUUAAGUUGGGAGGAAGGGCAGUAAGUUAAUACCUUGCUGUCUUGACGUUACCAACAGAAUAAGCACCGGCUAACUUCGUG
rnacentral:rRNA from 1 species